GGAAGGGUCGCAUAGCUGGUCUAGUGCGCGCGACUCGAAAUCGCGUAAGCCGCAAGGCUUCGAGAGUUCGAAUCUCUCCCCUUCCGCCA
rnacentral:tRNA from 1 species